rnacentral:rRNA from 1 species
AGAACUUUGAAGAGAGAGUUCAAGAGUACGUGAAACCGUUCAGGGGUAAACCUGAGAAACCCAAAAGAUCGAAUGGGGAGAUUCAUCGUCAGCGGCGUUGGCUUCCGUGCGGCUCGUGAUGCUCGGCGUUUCGGCGCCGCGGCACGCGUCCGCUGCGGUAUGACCGGCGCUCGCCGGCGUGCACUUCUCCCUCAGUAGAACGUCGCGACCCGUUGGGUGCCGGCCUACGGCCCGGUUGGUCGACUGUCGCGCUCACGCGCGUCAGACCACCGGUCGCCCGGCCGGCUGCCCGGCGGUAUUGAACGCACUUAUCCAACGGUAUUGGGCCGCAUUCAAUGCGUUCUGGCUCGUCGGCAGGCCCGUCUCGCUCGGUUUUACGGGCCUAGUACCGCUGCCGGGCGCUUGGCGUGGUUGUUGGUCGACGAUGUCCUCGAACUGGCUCGUUAUUAUUCAUAAUAUAUACCGGUCUGCGACGCUUUUGCU